rnacentral:rRNA from 1 species
GACGAACGCUGGCGGCGUGCUUAACACAUGCAAGUCGAACGGAAAGGCUCCAGCUUUCUGGUGUGCUCGAGUGGCGAACGGGUGAGUAACACGUGGGCAAUCUGCCCUGCACUCUGGGAUAAGCCGGUGAAACUGGGUCUAAUACCGGAUAGGACCUUUCUCCUCAUGGGGUUUGGUGGAAAGUUUGUCUGUGUAGUAUGUGACCGCGGCCUGUCAGCUUGUUGGUGUGGUAAUGUCCUACCAAGGCGACGACGGGCAGCCUGGCUGAGAGGGGGAUCGGCCAAGUCAGGAUGGAAAUGCGGCACAGACUCCUACGGGAGGCAGGAGUGGGGAAUAUUGCACAAUGGGAGGAAGCCUGAUGCAGUGAAGCCGCGGGGGGGAUGUGGGCAUGCGGGUUGGAAAGCUAUUUCCGUAGGGACGAAACGAAAGUGACGGUACCUGAAGAAGAAGCCCCGGCUAACUACGUG